GGGUGAGUAAUACAUCGGAACGUGCCCUGUAGUGGGGGAUAGCUCGGCGAAAGCCGGAUUAAUACCGCAUAAGCUCUACGGAGGAAAGCGGGGGACCGCAAGGCCUCGUGCUAUAGGAGCGGCCGAUGGCAGAUUAGCUAGUUGGUGAGGUAAAGGCUCACCAAGGCGACGAUCUGUAGCUGGUCUGAGAGGACGACCAGCCACACUGGGACUGAGACACGGCCCAGACUCCUACGGGAGGCAGCAGUGGGGAAUUUUGGACAAUGGGCGAAAGCCUGAUCCAGCAAUGCCGCGUGUGUGAAGAAGGCCUUCGGGUUGUAAAGCACUUUUGUUCGGGAAGAAAGUAUUCGUGCUAAUACCAUGGAUAGAUGACGGUACCGGAAGAAUAAGCACCGGCUAACUACGUGCCAGCAGCCGCGGUAAUACGUAGGGUGCGAGCGUUAAUCGGAAUUACUGGGCGUAAAGCGUGCGCAGGCGGUUUUGUAAGACAGAUGUGAAAUCCCCGGGCUUAACCUGGGAACUGCAUUUGUGACUGCAAGGCUAGAGUAUGGCAGAGGGGGGUAGAAUUC
rnacentral:rRNA from 1 species